GCAGGGAGGGAGGGAUGGGAAGGGCUGUCCAAGGUACCAGCCACAAGGCAGCCCCAGAUCCACGAGGAGAACAUCUCUAGCGUGUCUGACUCGGGAGGACUGUAGUAGGGAGGAGUUUGACUUUGGCUCUGUGGGCAAUACCUCCAUGGCCAGCAUUCAGAUUAUCCCUAAAAUAACGGUGGACUAGAUUUUGAAAUGAAACUGAAGCAGUCGGCUACCCUGCCCCAGAACCCCUGGCUCAGUCUGCCUGUGGAUGACCUGGAGAACUCUUACACGGUCACCAUCACCCAGAACCCUUCACCACAUCAACAAGACGUCAAGAGCCCAAACCCCUCAGAGUGCUCCCACCACACCAACCAAUUAUCCAAUCGGUCUCGAGACCAGCCCACACAGACGGAGGUACACACCCGUCCUCAGAGCAGAGGGGCACAGCCCAGUGACAGUAUCCUAUAGGCACAGGACAGCUUUGAGGAGUCAGAACUGAGCCCCACUUGUAAUUCCCUCUCCAGCACCAUCACAGAUGCAGGAGACGUGCCCAACUACACUGCAGAGAGCAUUCCCACUCUUCUCUGGGAUACGUAUGACUUCCAUAACCCGAAACGGGACACCUGUGAAAGGAUUACAAGCUCCAUGUGUAACGGAUCUCAUCCUCCUCUUCUGAGGAGGAGUAGCGAGAAGGAUCGGAGGACCAAUGAGCAGCGUGGUGGAAGAGAAUGUGAUGGCACAGAGCAGAUGUGGAAUGUUCUUCUGAAUACUGGGAGCUCAAGCAAAGUGUGGGCGUCAUGGGGCAGCGAGGAGCAGACAAGUUUGAUGUCCUCCAGUGAUUUAAAAGCGGCGGGUGUCCUGGGUCUUGAUGACAGUCUUGACUCUGCCGACACUGACAACCAUAGUGAAUGCCGGUCAUCAGAGGCAGCCAGUGAAACUGAGGCAUCAGAAUGCAGCCAAUGGAGAAUGGGCCGACGGGGUUGAGGCCCCCUCAAACCAACAGGGGACAGUUCCUGAAGGAGCUUAAAGGACUGCACGUUCUCGAUGAGCUCAUCAUGGAGGAGAACCUCAAGAUCCACAAACUCAGACAAGCUGAGAACGAGAGCCUUGAUGAAAAGCCCCCUCAAUCGACGGGCUCCCAAAGUACGUGCAAGGAGAGGCAGGCGUUUCUAUUCAAACUAGACAGAGAGAAAAGGGAAGUGGAGAGGAUGGAAAUGAACCUAGCUAAAGAGAUGACUAAAAGAUGUCAACUCACAAAGAGGAUAAGCAGAACCAAGAAAGUAGUGAAAUGCUCUAUAAUGGACAGGACUUCUAAACUGAAUAACUUGGAGGUUGGUGCUCUCUGCGAUGAUCUUAUAUCAGACCAUAGAAGCCUCAACGUAAAGCACUUGCCAACCCUGCCCAAACACACCAUAAACCUUGAUCCUAAUGAAUCCCUUUGUUAUUACUGCAACCUUUUCUACCAUAAUGCCUGUAUCACAAGACUUUGUUCAAAGUGUAAAUGGUCAGUAUCCACAUGCGGACUCUAGUAUAUCUGGCUGUGGUGAUGCCGUGGUAGAAGUAGAUGCUCUCAGCCACAGUGAGUUUAUGGAGCCCAGAGCAUCACAACCAGUCUUAACUCUACCACAAAGCUAUUCUGAUCCCAGUGAAGUUAUUGAAGAGGUUAGAAUCCAACACCGAGAGAGUACAGAUGAGGAAGGCUUAGAUUUCAGAUUGGUGUACAACUUGCAAUUUCCCCAAGAGGCCACCUUGACACCUGAAAUGUGCCCAGAACAUGGAGUAUUUGACCCGAGUUGGAAUUAUAACAACCCCCCCCCAGUGCCUAAACCAAGAAAGGCAUCACUUCCUGUGAAUGACAAAGGUCUAGAACUCAACAUCUCAAUGGAAACCAUGUAUUUAACCCUCUGCCCUGAUAGUGAUUCAGACCCUAACCCCAGACUCGCACCAGAAGUCAUGCCAGAGUUCAGCACUCAUCCGAAGCCUAAAGGGCGAAGCCUCAAACCUGUGAAGGACCACAGCAAUAUCCACAACAACAAACCCCUCACAGCUCAACAGGCAUCAUUAUGCAAUAACCCUUUGGAGUCCCGUGAGCAGUCCUCUCUUGACAAUUCCUCUGUUGAAUCAACAUUAACACCUGUUGACUCUGCCGGUGUUCAGAUAGAAAUCCAGACAGAAAUCCAACCUCUCCCAGAAAUCUGAGGAUAUUUCAAUGGCACAUUCUGGGUUUAAUUCUGAAGAGCUACCUCGUAUGUUUGCUGAAGCAAUAUCUGGAUCAUGUGAACCAAGCGGAGCUGAUGAGAGAAGUAGAGCCCUGAUGGGUUUCAGAGGUGUAGGACUGCAAGGAGGGCCAUCUCUAGGUCACCUGUCAAUCAACCCAAUGUCCAAAUAACCACCAGAGACAUGACCAAUUUCAAUACUCCAACAGUGCUGGACACAGGAUCUGAUUUGACGAAAGCAGGGUUUGCUGAUCAGGACCUCCCCAAAUACUAUAUUUCCAAAUAUCAUUGGGCUGCCUAAAUAUGAGGAAAUAAUGAAUGGCAACUUUGAACAGGAGACUUUCAUUGGACAUGAGGCUCAACACAUGAGAGGAGUCCUGGUACUGAAGUAUCCCAUGAAAAACGGAAUUAUAAGCAACUGGGAGGAAAUGGAGAAGGGUUGUCUACUGUUGACAUAAUUCUAUCCCAUUGAUGUUCUGAUGAAGCUGUAGUACCUGGCGGUUAUAGGAUUUAAACCUCACUGGUCUCGCUUCAGAUUUGGCACCACACGUUCCAGCAAGCUGCAGGUCGAUCCAGGCGACCACCCAGCCAUGAACCCCCUGGAGAACCGCCAGCGCAUGAUGGAACUUAUGUUUGACUGCUUUAACGUUCCCCUCGCCUAUGUGACCAUGCAGGCAGUGCUGGCACUCUACGCAGCAGGGAGGUCCACAGGUGUAGUGUUUGACUCUGGGGAUGAGUCAUGGGGUGCCAGUGUUUGAGGGAUACUGUCUACCUCACGCAGUGGAUGGCCAUGAUGUUACAAUGCACCUUAAAAUGGUAUUUGAUGUUAACAGUUUAGGUUUUUUUUUUUUUUUUACAGGGACUCUGUUAAAUAUGCUAAUUUGGUCAAAAAAACAAUUUAUUAUUUUCCCCAAAAAUGGUGUUACAAUUUACAGCCUGAAAUUAGAACCAUGGUGCCUACAGACGUGAGGGAGUGUGUGCGUGUGACCAGCCCUAAGGACGGAGGUGUAUCUGUUUGGAGUAGAGUGGAGGUGCAGUGCUAGCUAACUUGUCAUCCUUUGACUUCACCUGGAUCUGCCAAGAGGAAUAUGAGGAACCUGGCCCACAGAUCGUCUUCAGGAAGUGCUUCUGAGCUGGACUCAUCAUCUGGACUGGAUGGUCCUGAAAUGGAUGGUGCAAUAUAGUUCUACUGCAUAAUGCCAGAGGACAUUUCAGCUUGAAGCUUCCAACGCUCUAUUACUUUGAGUGUGAUAUAAAAUUGUUCUACUGUUGUCGGGCAGAUCAGACAAUAGUUGGGAAUGUUCUGAUUUAUGCUUAGUGACAUAAAUCCUGAUUCAAGACAGUUGCAUUCCUUAAAUUGAUGCCUUUGUCAAAGAUGUCCUGAGGAUGUCCAAAGAUUUACUUAGAAUCUUCUUAUCAGGGUCUGGCAAUAAUGUAAAGAAAGAUUACAUAUUUAUACGCACUUCAGAACAGGUUUGAACAUAUUUCUCUGUGUGCCUCUUGAAAUAUUAGUUUGUUUUCCCACCCUUUUCUCCUCUUUUCAAAUUUUUUUUUGGGGGGUGAACCAGGUAUUUUGGUGAUGGUAGGAAAACCAAUCUACUUUAUUUAAAGGCCCAUUUGAUCAGUCUUCUCCGUUUCUGAGAAACUACUACAUAUGCCAUGGUUUUGGCAAUGUCCAUGACAUGAUGGCCUAUAACACAAGUCCUGUAGCCUAGUGGUUAGAGCGUUGGACUAGUAACCCGAAAGGUUGCAACAUCGAAUCCCUGAGCUGACAAGGUGAAAAUCUGUCAUUCUGCCCCUGAACAAGGCGGUUAACCCACUGUUCCUAGGCCGUCACUGAAAAUAGGAAUUUGAUCUUAACUGACUUGCCUAGUUAAAUCAAAAAUAAUGUGCACUGAUCUUUUAAACCUACAUUUUUUUGUGUGUGUGAAGAGUCCCUUUGGUUCAAUUCACAACGUCACCUAUUUUUGACUCGGGUACACGUUUGUUCACAAUAUAGACUUUUCUGACUUACGAGUAUUGAUAAAUCGUUCUACGUUUGGUAAUGAAUGGGACACAUCUGUUAAGUGCAUGUUUUUCUACUAUAAAAGUGUUUUGACAGCAAAGUACCUAAACUUGAUGAGAAAGUUGUAUGUUGAUUCAUUGCGGCUAUGACUUUCCCAUUUGACGGUUACCUUGUACCCUUCCAAAAAACGGCCUGUUCAUAUGGACACACAAUUGGCCUUAUUAGUUUGGACCUUGCAGCAUUUUGAUAAACCUGACCUGAGUAUAAACCCCAUUUUGUUGACGGUAGACCUACUACCUAGUGUAUGAUUCACGUGUUACUUAACCCAGUCUUUGACGCACCAUUUUUACAUGUACUCUUCAGUGUUUUUUAAGAACUGCCAUGUGUUUUUCUACUCUAAAGAAGUGGGGUUGCCAUGUGAUCUUAAUCUCAGGUCUUAAGUGGAAGUCCGUAAUCAACCCCUGUGAAAUGGAAAGGCCUUAUCCAAGGGCUAAAAUAUGGAGACCGAUGAAUACUCAGCUCAUUGACGUUAGUUCUUGGUCAGAGGUUGAGUUGAAGUUCCAGCCUCUCCUUUUUGAACUGUACAUUCCAUGCUUGAGAUUUGCUACCUUCAUCUAGACCAAGUUGUGUAUGUAAUGUCUGUUUUUA